rnacentral:rRNA from 1 species
UACAACAUAACGUUAAUGCACUGGAUCCUAUUAGAACUCCGUAGUUAAGUGGGAUUAGGCUAGAGUAGUACUGGGAUGGGUGACUACCUAGAAAGUCCUAGUGUUUUAC